rnacentral:rRNA from 1 species
UGGUCCUACGGGGCGCAGCAGUGAGGAAUAUUGGUCAAUGGGCGGGAGCCUGAACCAGCCAAGUCGCGUGAGGGACGACGGUCCUAUGGAUUGUAAACCUCUUUUGUCGGGGAACAAAGGCGCCCACGGGUGGGCGGAUGAGUGUACCCGAAGAAAAAGCAUCGGCUAACUCCGUGCCAGCAGCCGCGGUAAUACGGAGGAUGCGAGCGUUAUCCGGAUUUAUUGGGUUUAAAGGGUGCGUAGGCGGACAGUCAAGUCAGCGGUAAAAUUGAGAGGCUCAACCUCUUCGAGCCGUUGAAACUGGU